rnacentral:lncRNA from 1 species
GCCUCAAAUACAGCUCCAGUUCUUAUAAUACAGGAUAUUUUUAGCUGUGUUUUGUUAUAAUGGAGGAUAUUCUCCUCCAGCAGAUAGUAAGAGAGUCUUCUAACAGUGUUUAGUUUGUGUACUUGCCCCAAGAAUUAAUUUGGCUUGUUGUAUCUUAGUAUAGCUUGCAAUUCUUGUUUUUCAGGUUCCUCUGAUAUUUAGGCAUAGUCUUGCAGUUAGAGAACAAAAGUGAGAAGCAUGACAUCUAUUCCUGACUCAGUUACUUCCUAGAGAAAACAAAGGAGACAGAGAACAAGAUACCCACGUUUAGAGUCAAGCAAGAAGAACUUCCUCUGCUAAUGCCUGUGUAUGGAGAUAAAACCUGGAUGUGAAGGCACCACGAGGUCAUACCCAGCAUAACCAAUGGCCAGUGUACCAGGCUGAGUGUGGCAUUUUACCCAAAAUACUGCAGAGGAUUUGGGAGAAUGAGCUUUCUAAAUUGAAGCAGGGGUCCUGUGGGUUGAAAUAAACCCUGAUAAUACAGGCUUGAGCACUGUUAUAGCC